GUUGUUCUGGCAUAUAAAAUUAACAUCGUUCGUGUUCCUGAAGUUGUCACUGUUUUUCUGGUUCGAAGAAAUGUCGACCAAAAUGCAACAGAUAUUGUUGAACAGUGGCAACAAGUUGCAUACAAUAUUGACGAUGACCUUUUCAUUAGACUUACCAUGAACGUCGUAAACAGUACUACUCGAAUCAGUGAAAAGACGGUGAGGACUACAUUCCGAGCAUUGUUUCUUGGAGACUCUGAAAGACUCCUUUCUAUCAUGAAUGCAAGCUUCCCUAAACUGGGUUUGCUUCGGUCAGACUGCACCGAAAUGAGUUGGCUUGAAUCAGUCCUUUUCUGGACAGAUCCCCCUCUUGGGACACCAACUGAUUUGCUAAGGAGAACACCACCAUCACUGGUUCACUUUAAAAGGAAAUCAGAUUAUGUACAAAAGCCAAUCCCAAGGGAUGGUUUGGAGGGAAUUUGGAAGAAAAUGAUUGAGCUACAAGUGCCGCAGCUUACUUUCAAUCCUUAUGGAGGAAAAAUGUGGGAGAUUCCAGCAACUGAAAGACCUUUUCCACAUAGAGCUGGGAACUUAUGGAAGGUUCAGUAUGCAACAGAUUGGAAUGAAAGCGGUCAAGAAAAAGCAAAUUAUUACAUAGAUUUGACAAGGCAACUCUAUAGUUACAUGACUCCCUUCGUGUCCAAGAAUCCUAGGCAAGCAUUCCUUAACUAUAGAGACCUCGACUUGGGUAUCAAUCACAACGGCAAGGAAAGCUACUUGGAAGGAAGAGUUUAUGGAAUCAAGUAUUUUCAGGAGAAUUUCAACAGGUUGGUUAAAAUCAAGACUAAGGUUGAUCCAGGUAAUUUCUUUAGGAAUGAACAAAGUAUCCCUACUUUUCCAUAGAGGAAGAAGUAGAAAUAUUUAUUUUGUUUGUUGGACCCGCGUGAUUGUGCGGCAAACCAACAGCAACAAAAAAAGAAGAAGAGGAUAGCCUGUUCUUUUUUUAAAAUAAAAUAUUAUUAUGUAAUUCAAGAAUAUUAUAAAUAAUGUGGUUAACUUGAUGUGACUUGAUUAAUUUAGUAAGUCUGAAUAAAACUCAUAGUAACUGUCGCACGUCAAAAUCCACGCGGCGUUCGCUGGCGAUUUUUUUAUUAUUUGUGUUUCGCUUGGUUCGUUGGAGUCGCCACCUAAUAUUAUGGUCACUAGGAACCUAUGGUCUGCGAGAGUCUGAGUAAGGGACUGGUUGUGCAAGGGGAAGACGCAUCACCCCCAGUGCACCCUACCUAAGAUAAGCUGCAUUGUUGUUUGAUUGUUUUUCUAGGUCGAGUUUCUAUUCGUUGGUAUUUCUAAGGUUUAAGGUAGAUCUAUCUUCAUGAGAAAGUCUCUACCUUAUUGGAUUAAAUCCUAACCGUUCUAAAGUCUGAAUGACAUUUAUUGACACCUUGUAUCUUUAAUACUUGAGGGUGUACUUUAUCAUGUAAUUUUACACCUCUAAAAUAUUAAAGUCUACAUCUGGAUCCUAGAAAAAAAAAAGAUUGGAAAAAGGUUUUUGAUAUUUUGGCCAAACCCUAAUGGAUAAUCAUAAACUAGUUAUGAUAUCUAUUUUUUGGAUUUUCAAAACGUGAGAAAGAUGCAAUUUUUUUGAAAAAAAACAUGCUUGGAAAAUUUUUAGGACUUGGCCGUAUGCGAUCAAAUAUUUUUUUUCUUUUUGAAAUUUUUUUAAAAAAAAAAUAUUUCAAAAAAACCGGGUAUUUUAAUACUGGACUUGUAUCUUACAAUGUAAGUAUACAACCCAAUAUUAAGCAAACUUGGUGGAAAAAUAUUUGAGAAAACCACAAAUUUUUUAAAUGAUUUUUUUUUUUGAAAUUUUUUGAAAUUUUUUUUAAAAAAAAAAAGAAAAAGGAAAAAAAAGAUAUAAUACACUGCAUGAACAGUAGACAUGAAUUAUACAUAGGCUUUUUAGAACAUGCAAAUUGCCCACCGUACCCCAUAAGACCACCCUUUAAUUGUUCCCUUUCAUGUUUCUUCCAUGCAAAUGAUGAUUUUCCUUUAUAAUGCACUACACAAAUUAAUCACCAUUAAUCGAAUUUGAGAUAUCUAAUCUCGACCCCAUUUUCUUCUUAUGACCUGAACUGAUCUCAAGGGGAAAAAAUAUGUAGUUUUUUUUUUUUAACUCAUGUAAUCAAGGAUUCUCAAUCACAGUUGAAAUGGCGUAUGCAUGACAAUGAAUGAGUUCUAGAUAAGAGGAAAAGGGAAUCUAUAAAUUUAUUUAAUGAUGCUUUAUCCAAUAAGAUUGACAUGGAACAUCUUAAUUUUAAAUGUCAAUGGUGGAUUAAUUACCUAGAUUUUUAAUUUGUGGCGUCCUUUGAAUUUUUCUAGUCAGAUAUUCGGGAGGUGACUUGCAUGAUCCUCUAACAUUGUUUUAAUUUGUUAUUUUAAGCGAAAUCAAACAUUAUAAAUUAAACCCCAUACACCAAGGUUAGAAGACAACCUCAAAUUAAUCUCUUGAACAAGCCAAAAAUGUUAAGGUCUAAAAUGUUCGCAUUGCUUUCAGUGUUUCUCCUAUCCAUCUCAUGGGAGGCGACUUCAGAUUUAGAUCAUGAAAAUUUUCUCCAUUGUCUUUUAAACCAUUCCCAACCCUCUUACCCAAUCUCCACAGCAAUUUACACUCCGAACAAUGAGUCAUACUCAUCUGUCUUGCAAUCUUAUAUUCGAAAUCUUCGGUUCAACAUGUCCACAACCCCGAAACCACUUCUUAUUCUCACUGCAUUGCAUGAAUCUCAUGUGCAAGCUGCCAUCAGUUAUGCUCGUGAACAUAACUUGCAAAUGAAAAUUCGAAGUGGGGGUCAUGACUAUGAAGGUGUUUCUUAUGUGUCAGAUGUCCCAUUCUUUGUCCUCGACAUGUUCAACCUUCGAUCAAUUGAUGUUGAUGUAGCUAGUGAGACUGCUUGGAUUCAAGUCGGAGCAACCCUAGGCGAAGUUUACUAUAGAGUUUCUGAGAAAAGCCAAGCACAUGGUUUUCCAGCUAGUGUUGAACCUACAGUUGGUGUUGGUGGUCACUUCGGUGGUGGUGGAUAUGGCAACAUGAUGAGAAAAUAUGGCCUUUCCGUCGACAACAUCAUUGAUGCGAAAAUGGUUGAUGUUAAAGGAAGACUUCUUGAUAGAAAAUCAAUGGGAGAAGAUUUAUUCUGGGUGUCAUCACCCAAUUUUGGGUGAUUCCCCAAAAUUCGUUUUUUUUCCCAAAAAAAUAAAGGCUGGCAAUGCGGAGAAAGCCGACCAAGAAAGGCUGCAAAAAUAGGUGAAAAUCAAGCUGCAAUUUUCGGAGGAAUUUCAAGGCCCAAGUGUACGCUGUUAUGCCCAAAAAUAGAAAAAUGCAAAUUCAAAGGUCAAAUUAAAUGAGUAUUGGACGAAUUUGCAUAAAAAUUAAGUCCAAUGACAUAAUUAAAUUUUUAAUGGGCCAAUUUGAUUUAAUCAUGGGCCAAAUUGAAUUUUAAUUAUGUUUAAGAAUUAAUUUAGGUCCAAUUGAAGGAUUUAAUUAAGUGCAAGGACUUAAUUAUACUUUAAGCGGGUCAAAUUAAUUUGAGGGCUUAAUUGGUGAAAAAUUAAGUUUGGGAGCUUAAUUUGGACUUAAUUGAAAAAUCAGAAUUUUAAGAGACCCAAUUUAAUUUUUACCAAGUGAAUUGAUUGAAAUUAGGGGCCAAACACAAAACUUGAGGGACCAAUUUUGAAGCCCGAAAAAACUAUUUUGCCUAUAAAUAGCCUUCAAUUUCAGCUAAGCGAGGGGGCAAUUUUAACAACAUCAGAAAAAAAUACAAAAAAAAAACCUAACCCUAAACCUAUCUUUUUCUCUAGAGCCGGCCACAACUCCCCUUCGCCCUCUGGUUUCUUCUUCUUCCAGCAGCGACGGCCCAUUCCCGUGAAGCAGCACCGUCUUCCUCCAGCAGACCCGGUUGCUCCACCCAACAGCCUCCACAGCGGCUCCCUUCUUCCUCAGCUCCGACCCACACACGGCUGUGCCCCCAGACCCGCAGUUGCUCCCUGCGCCCAGGAAACACUUCCUUCUCCUCCUCUCGGUGGCAGUUCGUCUCCAUCAACAGCAGCCGGCCACACCUGGAGAAACCCACACCUGUAGCAGCUCCUCCCAGCAAGCCACCUCGCCGUCUCCUUCAACCAGCGCCCACAGACCAGCAGCUCCAUGGUCCAGCGACCGGCCACUUGAAGAAGAGGAUGACCGGAGGAAACUGAUCUGCAGUGAAGCAGAUCCAACCGUGACAGACCCGAAGGAACCGGAUCUAAGGAAAACAAAACCAAAACAGAGUGUUGCUUGCGUUUUUCUAUGUUUUGCAGGUAGUGGUGUUCCUCACAGCCGGCAGGGAAGGGCAGAGAAGGAGAAAGCAGGGCAGAUCUGCCCGUUUCCGGCAUCAGCGGCGGCGCGUGAAGCCACGCGCCGCCAGGAACGGUGGCGCGUUGGAACACGCACUGCCAGCGUUCCUGCACGAAUUUCUGCAGUUCCUGAAGCACUUCCUUUGCAAUUCCUGGAGUUUUGAGGACUGUUUUGUAAAGUUUGGAUUAUUUAAUGUAAUUUUUAUUUAUUUUUUGAAUAUUAUAAUUUGUAUGGUGGAUGUAAAAAGAAAAGAAAAAAACAACAAAAAAAAAACAACAAAAAAAAAAGAAAAAGAAAAGAAAAAAUAUAGUAAAAAAUGUAUGUGUGUGUUUGAAUAUUUUUUUAUGGAUGCUUUUAUAAUGAGACGGCAAAAGAAUAAAGAAGGAUUUAAUAUUUUGAUUGGAUCACGGUGUAGAAGUACAAACUUGUACGAAAGUUGUAUUUCUAAAUUCCGAUGAAAAGAUAAAAUUUUUAAAACUUCUUUGACACAUCACAACCACAAAGCAGCUUACCUCAGGUAGGGUGUGUUAGGGGUGCUAACACCUUCCCUAACCACAAUCAGUCCCUUACCCGCAAAUCUCUGACAAGACCAGUCAACCUGGGUUUCCUAGUAACCCUCAAUUAAAUACUAGGUGGCGACUCCUAACAAAAUCAAUUCCAAUAACAGAGAGAAAAACCGCCAUCGCCAGGACGGGGACGCCGCGCGGGUGUUUUUCGACGUGCGACACUGGGCUAUAACAGGUGGAGGAGGAUCAAGCUUUGGAGUUGUUCUGGCAUAUAAAAUUAACAUCGUUCGUGUUCCUGAAGUUGUCACUGUUUUUCUGGUUCGAAGAAAUGUCGAUCAAAAUGCAACAGAUAUUGUUGAACAGUGGCAACAAGUUGCAUAUAAUAUUGACGAUGACCUUUUCAUUAGACUUACCAUGAACGUCGUAAACAGUACUACUCGAAUCAGUGAAAAGACGGUGAGGACUACAUUCCGAGCAUUGUUUCUUGGAGACUCUGAAAGACUCCUUUCU
rnacentral:lncRNA from 1 species